rnacentral:rRNA from 1 species
UAACACAUGCAAGUUCGAGCGGUAACCGAGAGUAAGCUUGCUUACUUUGCUGACGAGCGGCGGACGGGUGAGUAAUGCCUAGGGAUCUGCCCAGUCGAGGGGGAUAACAGUUGGAAACGACUGCUAAUACCGCAUACGCCCUACGGGGGAAAGGAGGGGACCUUCGGGCCUUCCGCGAUUGGAUGAACCUAGGUGGGAUUAGCUAGUUGGUGAGGUAAUGGCUCACCAAGGCGACGAUCCCUAGCUGUUCUGAGAGGAUGAUCAGCCACACUGGGACUGAGACACGGCCCAGACUCCUACGGGAGGCAGCAGUGGGGAAUAUUGCACAAUGGGGGAAACCCUGAUGCAGCCAUGCCGCGUGUGUGAAGAAGGCCUUCGGGUUGUAAAGCACUUUCAGUAGGGAGGAAAGGUGGUAGUUUAAUAAACUAUCACUGUGACGUUACCUACAGAAGAAGGACCGGCUAACUCCGUGCCAGCAGCCGCGGUAAUACGGAGGGUCCGAGCGUUAAUCGGAAUUACUGGGCGUAAAGCGUGCGCAGGCGGUUUGUUAAGCCAGAUGUGAAAUCCCCGGCUCAACCUGGGGAAUUGCAUUUGGAACUGGCGAACUAAAGUCUUGUAGAGGGGGGGUAGAAUUCCAGGUGUAACCGGUGAAAUGCGUAAAAAUUUGGAGGAAUACCGGUGGCGAAAGCGGGCCCCUGGACAAAGACUGACGCUCAUGC